rnacentral:rRNA from 1 species
UGAUUAUGGCUCAGGAUGAACGCUAGCUACAGGCUUAACACAUGCAAGUCGAGGGGAAACGAUAUUGGAAGCUUGCUUCCGAUAGGCGUCGACCGGCGCACGGGUGAGUAACGCGUAUCCAACCUGCCCACCACUUGGGGAUAACCUUGCGAAAGUAAGACUAAUACCCAAUGAGGUCUCUAGAAGACAUCUGAAAGAGAUUAAAGAUUUAUCGGUGAUGGAUGGGGAUGCGUCUGAUUAGCUUGUUGGCGGGGUAACGGCCCACCAAGGCGACGAUCAGUAGGGGUUCUGAGAGGAAGGUCCCCCACAUUGGAACUGAGACACGGUCCAAACUCCUACGGGAGGCAGCAGUGAGGAAUAUUGGUCAAUGGGCGAGAGCCUGAACCAGCCAAGUAGCGUGCAGGAUGACGGCCCUAUGGGUUGUAAACUGCUUUUAUAAGGGAAUAAAGUGAGUCUCGUGAGACUUUUUGCAUGUACCUUACGAAUAAGGACCGGCUAAUUCCGUGCCAGCAGCCGCGGUAAUACGGAAGGUCCGGGCGUUAUCCGGAUUUAUUGGGUUUAAAGGGAGCGUAGGCCGGAGAUUAAGCGUGUUGUGAAAUGUAGACGCUCAACGUCUGCACUGCAGCGCGAACUGGUUUCCUUGAGUACGCACAAAGUGGGCGGAAUUCGUGGUGUAGCGGUGAAAUGCUUAGAUAUCACGAAGAACUCCGAUUGCGAAGGCAGCUCACUGGAGCGCAACUGACGCUGAAGCUCGAAAGUGCGGGUAUCGAACAGGAUUAGAUACCCUGGUAGUCCGCACGGUAAACGAUGGAUGCCCGCUGUUGGUCUGAAUAGGUCAGCGGCCAAGCGAAAGCAUUAAGCAUCCCACCUGGGGAGUACGCCGGCAACGGUGCAACUCAAAGGAAUUGACGG